AACGCGAAGAACCUUACCUGGGCUCGAACGGCUUCGGACAAACUGUGGAAACACGGUCUUCCCGCAAGGGACUGGAGUCGAGGUGCUGCAUGGCUGUCGUCAGCUCGUGUCGUGAGAUGUUGGGUUAAGUCCCGCAACGAGCGCAACCCUUGUCCUGUGUUGGCAUGCCGAAAGGCGCAACUCUCAGGAGACCGCCAGCGAUAAGCUGGAGGAAGGUGGGGAUGACGUCAAGUCAUCAUGGCCUUUAUGUCCAGGGCCACACACGUGCUACAAUGGGCGGUACAAAGCGCUGCCAACCCGCGAGGGGGAGCUAAUCGCCAAAAACCGUCCUCAGUUCGGAUUGCAGGCUGCAACUCGCCUGCAUGAAGCUGGAAUCGCUAGUAAUGCUAUAUCAGAACGAUAGCGUGAAUACGUUCCCGGGCCUUGUA
rnacentral:rRNA from 1 species